UACGUAGGGGGCAAGCGUUGUCCGGAUUUAUUGGGCGUAAAGAGCGUGUAGGCGGCCAGGCAAGUCCGUUGUGAAAACUGGAGGCUCAACCUCCAGACGUCGACGGAAACCGUGUGGCUAGAGUCCGGAAGAGGAGAGUGGAAUUCCUGGUGUAGCGGUGAAAUGCGCAGAUAUCAGGAAGAACACCAAUGGCGAAGGCGGCUCUCUGGGACGGUACUGACGCUGAGACGCGAAAGCGUGGGGAGCGAACAGG
rnacentral:rRNA from 1 species